CCCUUAGAUGUUCUGGGCUGCACGCGUGCUACACUGACGCAUACAGCGAGCACUUUCCAGUUCCGAGAGGCUACUGGUAAUCAUCAAUAUGCGUCGUGAUGGGGAUAGAUCUUUGGAAUUCUGGAUCUUGAACGAGGAAUGCCUAGUAAUCGCAGGUCAUUAGCCUGCGAUGAUUAAGUCCCUGCCCUUUGUACACACCGCCCGUCGCUACUACCGAUUUCGAGUGGUCAGGUGAAUCUUUCGGACUGUGGGCGCCCUUGAGGUGUUCGCGGAAAGUCAGGUAAAUCUUAUCACUUAGAGGAAGUAAAAGUCGUAACA
rnacentral:rRNA from 1 species